AUUGAACGCUGGCGGCAAGCUUAACACAUGCAAGUCGAACGAUGUAGCAAUACAUAGUGGCGGACGGGUGCGUAACACGUGGGAAUCUGCCUUUAGGUAAGGUAUAACUCAGGGAAAAUUGAGCUAAUACCUUAUAAUGUCUUCGGACCAAAAAUUUAUUGCCUAAAGAUUAGCCCGCGGUAGAUUAGCUCGUGGGUGGGGUAAUGGUCUACCAAGGCAACGAUCUAUAGCUGGUCUUAGAGGAUGAUCAGCCACACUGGGACUGAGACACGGCCCAGACUGCUACGGGAGGCAGCAGUGGGGAAUAUUUGGCAAUGGACGAAAGUCUGACCCAGCUAUGCCGCGUGAAUGAUGAAGGCCUUAGGGUUGUAAAGUUCUUUUACCGGGGAAGAUAAUGACGGUACCCGGAGAAAAAGCUCCGGCUAACUUCGUGCCAGCCGCCGCUGUAA
rnacentral:rRNA from 1 species